AUUGAACGCUGGCGGCAGGCCUAACACAUGCAAGUCGAGCGGAUGAAGGGAGCUUGCUCCUGGAUUCAGCGGCGGACGGGUGAGUAAUACCUAGGAAUCUGCCUGGUAGUGGGGGAUAACGUCCGGAAACGGGCGCUAAUACCGCAUACGUCCUGAGGGAGAAAGUGGGGGAUCUUCGGACCUCACGCUAUCAGAUGAGCCUAGGUCGGAUUAGCUAGUUGGUGGGGUAAAGGCCUACCAAGGCGACGAUCCGUAACUGGUCUGAGAGGAUGAUCAGUCACACUGGAACUGAGACACGGUCCAGACUCCUACGGGAGGCAGCAGUGGGGAAUAUUGGACAAUGGGCGAAAGCCUGAUCCAGCCAUGCCGCGUGUGUGAAGAAGGUCUUCGGAUUGUAAAGCACUUUAAGUUGGGAGGAAGGGCAGUAAGUUAAUACCUUGCUGUUUUGACGGUACCAACAGAAUAAGCACCGGCUAACUUCGUG
rnacentral:rRNA from 1 species